rnacentral:tRNA from 1 species
GCCUGGGUGGCUCAGCGGGUUAAGCAACUGACUCUUGGUUUCGGCUCAGGUCAUGAUCUCACGAACUCAUGGUUUGUGGGUUCGAGCCCCACAUCAGGCU